rnacentral:rRNA from 1 species
GGCGAACGGGUGAGUAACGCGUAAGCAAUCUGCCCCAUAGUCGGGAACAACCGUCCCAACGGACGGCUAAUGCCGGAUAUUGAGUUUAGGUACCUGCCUAGACAUCGAAAGAUUUAUUGCUAUGGGAUGAGCUUGCGUCUGAUUAGCUAGUUGGUAGGGUAAUGGCCUACCAAGGCGACGAUCAGUAGCCGGCCUGAGAGGGUGAUCGGCCACAUUGGGACUGAGAUACGGCCCAGACUCCUACGGGAGGCAGCAGUAGGGAAUAUUGCACAAUGGGGGAAACCCUGAUGCAGCAACGCCACGUGUGGGAAGAAGCAUUUCGGUGUGUAAACCACUGUCGAUAGGGAAUAAUGGCCGUUUUCGGACGGUUUGAAUGUACCUGUAAAGGAAGCACCGGCAAACUUCGUGCCAGCAGCCGCGGUAAUACGAGGGGUGCAAGCGUUGUUCGGAAUCACUGGGCGUAAAGGGAGCGUAGGCGGAAAAUCAAGUCGACCGUACAAUACCGAGGCCCAACCUCGGAACUGCAGUCGAGACUGGUUUUCUUGAAUUAUUCAGAGGCAGGCGGAAUUCCAGGUGUAGCGGUGGAAUGCGUAGAGAUCUGGAAGAA